GAGGAUAUAGCUUAGUGCUAGAACACAUGCUUAGCAUGCACGAGGUCCUGGGUUCAAUCCCCAGCACCUCCA
rfam:Camelus ferus unplaced genomic scaffold scaffold786, whole genome shotgun sequence.